UACAGGGGGUGCAAACGUUGCUCGGAAUCAUUGGGCGUAAAGCGCACGUAGGCGGUCUGUUAUGUCGGAUGUGAAAGCCCUCGGCUCAACUGAGGAAGUGCAUCCGAAACUGGCAGGCUAGAGUACUAAAGAGGGUCGCGGAAUUCCCGGUGUAGAGGUGAAAUUCGUAGAUAUCGGGAGGAACACCAGUGGCGAAGGCGACUACCUGGCCUGUUCUUGACGCUGAGGCGCGAAAGCUAGGGGAGCAAACGGG
rnacentral:rRNA from 1 species